rnacentral:lncRNA from 1 species
AGAGUAAUAUAGAGGCUCAGAUUCCAAAGAGGAGAAAGAUGAACUAGAGAAGGCAGGUAGUUGACAGACAUAUUCCUUAAGAUAGGAAGGAGGAUUAUGCUGUCUUUGAGACUUUUUGGGAGCAGGAAUAGAGAGAGAAGAAGCUAAAACAGGAGGUGAGCUGGCAGGAUUGAAAGGAGAAGGGAAGGCUGAAGCAGUUGGGAUAGUGACAGGAAAAGGCAUCUGCACAGAUGUGGGAGAAGAGGGAGGAGAGAGGUGAAUGAGAGA